rnacentral:rRNA from 1 species
UKCAUCGAUGAAGAASGUAGCAAACUGCGAUACUUGGUGUGAAUUGCAGAAUCCCGUGAACCAUCGAGUCUUUGAACGCAAGUUGCGCCCAAAGCCAUUAGGCCGAGGGCACGUCUGCCUGGGCGUCACGC